UUUAGACUGGGAUAACAGAGGGAAACUUCUGAUAAUACUGGAUAAGUUAGUAUAUCGCAUGAUAUGCAAAUGAAAGCUACGGCACUAAAGGAGAGCUUUGCGUCCUAUUAGCUAGUUGGUAAGGUAAGAGCUUACCAAGGCGAUGAUGGGUAGCCGGCCUGAGAGGGUGGACGGCCACAAGGGGACUGAGAUACGGCCCUUACUCCUACGGGAGGCAGCAGC
rnacentral:rRNA from 1 species